rnacentral:sRNA from 1 species
UGGUGUACAUGACACUCAAAGCAAGGACUGUGAAUAGAAAACCUGGCCCUCAAUAUGAAACUCACAAGAAUACACAUCAAUCUUACAUAGUUGUGGGGAGCUGUUGGAAUCUCCUGAUCUCAGACAAGUCAGUCUGUCAGGAAUGACUGUGUCCAGAUAGCAGAGUGAUGAAGUGAUCUUGUUGUCACAGCACUUUUGCUUCUAAGCCUGGAAGCAGUCUGGAACUCAGCGAUGAAGAUUGUGAAUAAAGAAAAUUCAUAUUUUUUAAAUGAAUGAACAAAAACCUAAAGUGAUUUUAGGGUGACAGAUUUCCAACCAUAUGCACUUCACCUUCCAACUCCUCUGUGACCUCCUGGUUGUCACAGAAUCUUCUGAUCCAGUAGGGUGCCUACACGGAUGUUCUGGAGACCUACACGAUGUCUGGGUUGCUGCCAAUGACUCUGAGGUAAUGGGAACCAGUUUGGUCUCUGUUAGAUCAGAAGACUUUGGAUGGAGUUUUGUGUGGAGUAUUGUGAGAAGAAGGUGAGGCAGUGGAGUUGUUGGGGGAAUUCUGUGCUGCUCUGAGGUAGUGUUGGCAGUCUGGCAAUGGGGAAAAUUUUAAAAGGGCUACUUUUGUUUGCUCUCUUGAUAUGAAUUACCUACCACUUGUUUACACAAAAGCACACUGUAGACACUAUCUUCUGCCCUCACUGUUUGUAACCAGAAGGGAGAUGAAGUUUUACUGGAGACAUUUGAUCCCCAUGAAGACAUGCUCCUUAAAUGAAAUUGGUGCUUAAAAUUUUGUAAAACCAUACAAAUUAAGAUGUGUCUAGUCUUUCCUCAUUGAGUUUUACCAUGUAAUGAAUAAAUAGCCUUUUGUUAAUGAACAUGUAUAGAAGAUACAAUGACCUCUACAGUGUUGUUAGGAUUCUUUAAUUCAUUUUUAAUUUAUUUUAAUUCACUUAAAUUCAUUUAGGUAUCAAAAUCCCUAAGGGGAAACUCCUAAGAUUUUUGAAGAGUUUAAAAGAAAACUCUAUCUCUGUAUAUGUGCUCCAGUACUAACAAUAAUAUCCCCUCAGGUUGCAAGGGUGCUGGGGAUUUAGUUAGACCCUUCGUUAUUUGGCCAUAGCAUGAAGAAUUAAAAGAAAUCAACUUUAUUAAACAGACACAACUAGCUUCAGCCCCCACUAGGUAAUUUUCGACUUCCUUCUUUGCUGUUUCUCACUCAGGCUUACAAAGAUGGGAAUUGUAAAAAUGCUGAAGGUAUUAUUGCUCUAUUCAUGAAUUCAUACUAGAAACACAUAGAUAAAAUAUAGCAAAUAGAAAUAAUUCAAAUGAAAGGAAGGAUGCUUCCAAGUGCUUCAUUGCACAUGAGGACAUACGGGAAAAUUUACUGAACAGGGGUGCAGGAGGAAUUCCAGGUAUUUGAUCGUUUCUUAGGGAGUCUGGAGACUGUCCUUCGGUUUUUAUGUCAGCCAUCAUAAUGACAACAGAGGCUCAGAUCCAGCUGAAGAGUCCAGAUGGAGUGUAAUGAAGGAUGAGCAUCCUCACCGCCCUUUGCUCUUCACUAAGCCUAUGUCUAUCAAAGGUAAAUGUGCUCCUGUUUCAUAUGGGCUUAAAAGGUUUCAAAGCUAUUUGAGUUUGUACAGUUACUUGAAGCUAUUUCAAAAAUGCUCAGAGCCAAAGCUCUUUUCUCCUUAUGGGUAACAUGAAAAGAAGCAUGAAAAUUACUAGUCAGUUAAAUUGUUUGUUUGCUUGAUGUUUAUUUAUUCAUUUAUUCUUUUGAGACAGAUUCUUUUCUGUUCUUGACUUGCCCAGUUUACAAAUUACUGAGAUUGCACGAGAGCAGUCUAUACCUUGCCUAUUACUUCCUCUUAAUUUUAAAGGCUAAUAGAAAAUAGCUGUUUGCAAUACUCUGUGCCUUUAAAACUGGGGUAGGGGGACUCAGUUAAAAGUGAAUUAUAGCUUUCUGGUUUCUACCUGAAACCAGAGUUGCUGAUCCUGUCCCACAGCUCUCUGCACCC